rnacentral:rRNA from 1 species
AUUGAACGCUGGCGGCAGGCCUAACACAUGCAAGUCGAACGGUAACAGGAAGCAGCUUGCUGCUUUGCUGACGAGUGGCGGACGGGUGAGUAAUGUCUGGGAAACUGCCUGAUGGAGGGGGAUAACUACUGGAAACGGUAGCUAAUACCGCAUAACGUCGCAAGACCAAAGAGCGGGACCUUCGGGCCUCUUGCCAUCGGAUGUGCCCAGAUGGGAUUAGCUAGUAGGUGGGGUAACGGCUCACCUAGGCGACGAUCCCUAGCUGGUCUGAGAGGAUGACCAGCCACACUGGAACUGAGACACGGUCCAGACUCCUACGGGAGGCAGCAGUGGGGAAUAUUGCACAAUGGGCGCAAGCCUGAUGCAGCCAUGCCGCGUGUAUGAAGAAGGCCUUCGGGUUGUAAAGUACUUUCAGCGGGGAGGAAGAGAGUAAAGUUAAUACCUUUGCUCAUUGACGUUACCCGCAGAAGAAGCACCGGCUAACUCCGUG